rnacentral:misc_RNA from 1 species
GAUGAAGAACGCAGCGAAAUGCGAUAAGUAGUGUGAAUUGCAGAAGUACCGUGAAUCAUCGAAUCUUUGAACGCAAAUUGCACUCUCUGGUAUUCCGGGGAGUAUGCCUGUUUGAGGGUCGCUUAACAAACCAUCGAUUUCGUUGCUUUUUUUUUUAAAAAGUGAUGUUUAUCGGAUUUGAGCCGUCUUUUUUUUUUAUAUUUAAGUGGCUUAAAAUUGAUUUUUUUGGUACGAUCGAAGCGUAUUUUUAUGAUCAAUUUUUGGUUAAAGAAACGCACACGUACCGUUAUUUAUAUGAUGUAAUACGUUUGACUAUUGGAUUUAGUUCAUUCGUAUACGAUAUUUUUCAAUAUUUGACCUCAAAUCAGGUAAGAACACCCGCUGAACUUAAGCAUAUCAAUAAGCGGAGGA